AACAGAGCCUGCAAAAAGGGAUCGAAGAGGGCUCGCAGGGGUAGAAGUAGGAUCAACAGAGAAUUGUGUCAUGAAAACCAAGAGAAGAGGUUCUAGAACAAGGGUCAAAUGCCAACAGGGUCCCAUGCGUCUGAGUGGCCCAAGAGAAUGAGAAUGGGAAAGCUUCCUCUGGAUUUGAGCACAAGAAGGGGUUGGAGACCACAGUGGUCCAGUUUUGAAGGUCCCAGGUCCUUCGCCUGUCAUGCAGAGAGAAAGCAAGUAACCUCCUUUGUCCCCGACUCUGCUAGGGGAUCUAGGACCAGCAGACUCCCAGCACAGUGGCUUUUGGAGAAGUUGCCAGCUGUUGGAUCCAAUAAGUGUAUGUUGUGGUUGGUUACAGAGGGCCACCCGGCCCCAGACACAAGCUGGCUGGGGAUCCAGGUGGCCCUCCUCGGUGCUGGGCGACUCUGGCAUACGUCUCAGCCACCCAGAUAUGAAGCCACCAGUUCUUGCGGAGGUACAUAAAAGAGAAAGAGAAGACAGUGGGGUCACAGAGCCGCAGGACAGAGACCACUUGGAGAGGCAUUUCAAGGGUGCUGGAGGUCAGAUAAAAAUCCAUGCCUCUGUGGAGCUGUGUUACACUGGUGAGGAUCAGACCGUAAAGAAAUAAACAGCAAGUCAGCAAUGGGAGAGAUUGGACGUGACUCAGAUGGUGAGGAAAGCGCCAGCAGGAAUAAAGCAGCGAAAAUUCAGGACACGGGUGCUGUGGGCAAACUUGAGGGCAGGCUGGUGAAGCCCAGUAGGCCCUUUGCAGCUCACAGUUAAAAAAAUUUUUUAA